UGCAAAUCAAUAUAGGUUGAUUAGAUUUUAUUUAUUAAUUUUUUUGUUAGGUUAAUAAAGUAUUAAAAAUAAUUAUAGAUUUUAUAGUUUAAGUAAUUUUUAUUGAAUAAAUAAUUUUAUUAUAGUGAAUUAGUAGUGUGAAUGAAUAUUGAAAUAUUUUGAAAAAUUUUUAUUUUAAAAGAAAAUUUAGUUUAUUGUACCUUGUGUAUCAGGGUUUAUUAAUUGAAUAAUAAAUAUUUAUUUUUCUCGAUUUUAUAAGAGUUAAUGAUUUAUGAAAGUUAAUGUGUCAAAAUUAUUUUUAAUAAAUUGUUAGUAAUGAAAUGUUAUUCGUUAUAAAGGUAUCUAGUUUUUUUAGAAAUAAAUUUAAUUUAGCAGUUUUUAAUUUAUUGCCUAAUUUGUUAGGUUAUAAAAAUAUUAAUUGUAAUUUUUUAGGGGAUAAGCUUUAGAAAAAAUUUUUAAAAUUAGUAGAUUAAUUGAAAAGAUGUAUGUAUAGAAUUUGCAAUCAUUUUUAAGUUUGUUAUAAAUUAUUUUUUAGAAUUAUUAUUUAUUUAUUUUUAAGUUAUUUAUAAAAAUAUUUAUUUUAAUAAAUUAAGUGAAUUAAUAAUGAUAAAAUUAGUAUAUGUGUAGUGUAAUAGGUAAAUUUAUUUGUUAAGUUUAUGUAAAGAAUUCGGCAAAUUUUAUGCCCGCCUGUUUAACAAAAACAUGUCUUUUUGAGUUAUUUAAAAAGUCUAGCCUGCCCAAUGAGUAUUUGAAUGGCCGCAGUAUUCUAACUGUGCAAAGGUAGCAUAAUCAUUAGUCUUUUAAUUGAAGGCUGGAAUGAAUGGUUGGACGAGGUAUAAGCUGUUUCAUAUAAAUUUUUUAUAGAAUUUUAUAUUUUAGUAAAAAAGCUGAAAUAAAUUUAAAAGACGAGAAGACCCUAUAAAUCUUUAUAUUUAUUUUUGUUUAAAAUUUAUGGAUUAAUUCUUUUUUUACAGGUUUAAAUAUUUUAUUGGGGUGAUAUUAAAAUUUAAUAAACUUUUAAUUUUUAAAAUCAUUGAUUUAUGAAUUAUUGAUCCAUUAUUAGUGAUUAUAAGUUUAAGUUACUUUAGGGAUAACAGCGUAAUUUUUUUGGAGAGUUCAUAUCGAUAAAAAAGAUUGCGACCUCGAUGUUGGAUUAAGAGAUAGUUUUAGGUGUAGCCGCUUAAACCUUAAUCUGUUCGACUUUUAAA
rnacentral:rRNA from 1 species